rnacentral:rRNA from 1 species
UACAGAGGGGGCAAGCGUUAUUCGGAAUUACUGGGCGUAAAGGGCGCGUAGGCGGCUCGCUAAGUCGGAUGUGAAAACUCUGGGCUCAACCCAGAGCCUGCAUUCGAAACUGACGAGCUCGAGUUCUGGAGGGGAAAGCGGAAUUCCUGGAUGUAGCGGUGGAAAUGACGUAGAUAUCAGGAGGAACACCGGUGGCGAAGGCGGCUUCUGGACAGAAACUGACGCUGAUGCGCGAAAGCUAGGGGAGCAAACAGG